AGAGUUUGAUCCUGGCUCAGGAUGAACGCUAGCUACAGGCUUAACACAUGCAAGUCGAGGGGCAGCAUGGUCUUAGCUUGCUAAGGCCGAUGGCGACCGGCGCACGGGUGAGUAACGCGUAUCCAACCUGCCUUACACUCUUGGACAGCCUUCUGAAAGGGAGAUUAAUACAAGAUGUUAUCAUGAGUAAGCAUUUUCGCAUGAUUAAAGGUUUACCGGUGUAAGAUGGGGAUGCGUUCCAUUAGAUAGUAGGCGGGGUAACGGCCCACCUAGUCUUCGAUGGAUAGGGGUUCUGAGAGGAAGGUCCCCCACAUUGGAACUGAGACACGGUCCAAACUCCUACGGGAGGCAGCAGUGAGGAAUAUUGGUCAAUGGACGAGAGUCUGAACCAGCCAAGUAGCGUGAAGGAUGACUGCCCUAUGGGUUGUAAACUUCUUUUAUAAAGGAAUAAAGUCGGGUAUGGAUACCCGUUUGCAUGUACUUUAUGAAUAAGGAUCGGCUAACUCCGUGCCAGCAGCCGCGGUAAUACGGAGGAUCCGAGCGUUAUCCGGAUUUAUUGGGUUUAAAGGGAGCGUAGAUGGGUUGUUAAGUCAGUUGUGAAAGUUUGCGGCUCAACCGUAAAAUUGCAAUUGAUACUGGCAGUCUUGAGUACAGUUGAGGUAGGCGGAAUUCGUGGUGUAGCGGUGAAAUGCUUAGAUAUCACGAAGAACUCCGAUUGCGAAGGCAGCUUACUAACCUGUAACUGACAUUGAUGCUCGAAAGUGUGGGUAUCAAACAGGAUUAGAUACCCUGGUAGUCCACACGGUAAACGAUGAAUACUCGCUGUUUGCGAUAUACUGCAAGCGGCCAAGCGAAAGCGUUAAGUAUUCCACCUGGGGAGUACGCCGGCAACGGUGAAACUCAAAGGAAUUGACGGGGGCCCGCACAAGCGGAGGAACAUGUGGUUUAA
rnacentral:rRNA from 1 species